rnacentral:rRNA from 1 species
CCUACGGGAGGCAGCAGUGGGGAAUAUUGCACAAUGGGGGAAACCCUGAUGCAGCGACGCCGCGUGAGUGAAGAAGUAUUUCGGUAUGUAAAGCUCUAUCAGCAGGGAAGAAAAUGACGGUACCUGAUUAAGAAGCCCCGGCUAACUACGUGCCAGCAGCCGCGGUAAUACGUCGGGGGCAAGCGUUAUCCGGAUUUACUGGGUGUAAAGGGAGCGUAGACGGCAGCACAAGUCUGGAGUGAAAUGCCGGGGCUUAACCCCGGAACUGCUUUGGAAACUGGGCAGCUAGAGUGCCGGGGAGGUAAGUGGAAUUCCUAGUGUAGCGGUGAAAUGCGUAGAUAUGAGGAGGAACACCAGUGGCGAAGGCAGCUUACUGGAGUGUAACUGACGUUGAGGCUCGAAAGCGUGGGGAGCGAACAGGAUUAGAUACCCUUGUAGUC